rnacentral:sRNA from 1 species
ACACACACAGAGGAAAGAAAAUAUUAAGAAUCCUGUGUAUUACACAGGUAUCCAAACAUAAAAAUACUUUAGAAUUGCUUACUGUAUGGACAAGUUAUAUGGAAUGGAGUUAGUAUCCACAUUAACAAAGCAAGUUUAUGUGGACUGGUUAUGAUAUUAGGGAUAUGAAUUAGAAAUGGAUGUUGUUGCACUCAUUAAAAAUAUUUUGCCUCUCACUUUAUCCCCAGUUAUAGUGUCCUUUUGAAUUUUUCUCACACAGUGCUACUGUAUUUCAUGAACUGGUAUAUAAACAAACCAAAAUUAUUUCUUCAAAUCAAGAACUUAUCUAUGAAGGGCGACGCUUAGUCUUAGAACCUGGAAGACUGGCACAACAUUUCCCUAAAACUACUGAGGAAAACCCUAUAUUUGUAGUAAGCCGGGAACCUCUGAAUACCAUAGGAUUAAUAUAUGAAAAAAUUUCCCUCCCUAAAGUACAUCCACGUUAUGAU